rnacentral:rRNA from 1 species
UGGGGAAUAUUGGACAAUGGGCGAAAGCCUGAUCCAGCCAUGCCGCGUGAGUGAUGAAGGCCUUAGGGUUGUAAAGCUCUUUCAGUGGGGAAGAUAAUGACGGUACCCACAGAAGAAGCCCCGGCUAACUUCGUGCCAGCAGCCGCGGUAAUACGAAGGGGGCUAGCGUUGUUCGGAUUUACUGGGCGUAAAGCGCACGUAGGCGGAUCGUUAAGUCGGGGGUGAAAUCCUGGAGCUCAACUCUGGAACUGCCUUUGAUACUGGGUAUCUUGAGUAUGGAAGAGGUAAGUGGAAUUGCGAGUGUAGAGGUGAAAUUCGUAGAUAUUCGCAGGAACACCAGUGGCGAAGGCGGCUUACUGGUCCAUUACUGACGCUGAGGUGCGAAAGCGUGGGGAGCAAA